rnacentral:rRNA from 1 species
GGGGCGCAGCAGGCGCGAAACUUUCGCACUGCGCGAAAGCGCGACGAGGGGAGACCGAGUGCCUCUCCUUUUUGGGGGGGCUUUUCGCAAGCCUAAAAAGCUUGUGGAAUAAGGGCUGGGCAAGACGGGUGCCCGCCGCCGCGGUAAUACCCGCAAAAAAAGUGGUGGUCGCUUUUAUUGAGCCUAAAACGUUCGUAGUCGGCCUUGUAAAAAAAAGGGUAAAUCGGGGCGCUUAACGUUUCGAAUUCCGGGGAGACUGCAAGGCUAGGGACCGGGCGAGGUCAGAGGUACUUUCGGGGUAGGAGUGAAAUCCUGUAAUCCCGAAGGGACCACCUGUGGCGAAAGCGUCUGACUUGAACGGCUCCGACGAUGAGGAACGAAGGCUAGGGGAGCAAACCGGAUUAGAUACCCGGGUAGUCCUAGCUGUAAUCUUUGCGAGCUUGGUGUGGCUUGUACUUCGGGUGCAGGCUGUGCCGGAGCGAAGGUG